rnacentral:rRNA from 1 species
GCUAGCUACAGGCUUAACACAUGCAAGUCGAGGCGUUGCAUGGUCUUAGCUUGCUAAGGCCGAUGGCGACCGGCGCACGGGUGAGUAACGCGUAUCCAACCUGCCUUACACUCUUGGACAGCCUUCUGAAAGGGAGAUUAAUACAAGAUGUUAUCAUGAGUAAGCAUUUUCACAUGAUUAAAGGUUUACCGGUGUAAGAUGGGGAUGCGUUCCAUUAGAUAGUAGGCGGGGUAACGGCCCACCUAGUCUUCGAUGGAUAGGGGUUCUGAGAGGAAGGUCCCCCACAUUGGAACUGAGACACGGUCCAAACUCCUACGGGAGGCAGCAGUGAGGAAUAUUGGUCAAUGGACGAGAGUCUGAACCAGCCAAGUAGCGUGAAGGAUGAAGGUUCUAUGGAUUGUAAACUUCUUUUAUACGGGAAUAAACGGAUCCACGUGUGGAUUUUUGCAUGUACCGUAUGAAUAAGGAUCGGCUAACUCCGUGCCAGCAGCCGCGGUAAUACGGAGGAUCCGAGCGUUAUCCGGAUUUAUUGGGUUUAAAGGGAGCGUAGAUGGGUUGUUAAGUUAGUUGUGAAAGUUUGCGGCUCAACCGUAAAAUUGCAAUUGAUACUGGCAGUCUUGAGUACAGUUGAGGUAGGCGGAAUUCGUGGUGUAGCGGUGAAAUGCUUAGAUAUCACGAAGAACUCCGAUUGCGAAGGCAGCUUACUAACCUGUAACUGACAUUGAUGCUCGAAAGUGUGGGUAUCAAACAGGAUUAGAUACCCUGGUAGUCCACACGGUAAACGAUGAAUACUCGCUGUAGGCGAUAUUCAGUCUGCGGCCAAGCGGAAAGCAUUAUGUAUUCCACCUGGGGAGUACGCCGGCAACGGUGAAACUCAAAGGAAUUGACGGGGGCCCGCACAAGCGGAGGAACAUGUGGUUUAAUUCGAUGAUACGCGAGGAACCUUACCCGGGCUUAAAUUGCAACCGAAUAUGGCGGAAACGCUAUAGCUAGCAAUAGCGGUUGUGAAGGUGCUGCAUGGUUGUCGUCAGCUCGUGCCGUGAGGUGUCGGCUUAAGUGCCAUAACGAGCGCAACCCUUGCCGAUAGUUACUAACAGGUCAUGCUGAGGACUCUGUCGGGACUGCCAUCGUAAGAUGUGAGGAAGGUGGGGAUGACGUCAAAUCAGCACGGCCCUUACGUCCGGGGCUACACACGUGUUACAAUGGGGGGUACAGAGGGCUGCUACCACGCAAGUG